GUUGUAUGGUUAAGUGACUAAGCGUACACGGUGGAUGCCUGGGCAGUCAGAGGCGAUGAAGGACGUACUAACUUGCGAUAAGCGCAGAUAAGGCAGUAAGAGCCGUUUGAGUCUGCGAUUUCCGAAUGGGGAAACCCAACUGCAUAAGCAGUUACUGUUAACUGAAUACAUAGGUUAACAGAGCAAACCGGGGGAACUGAAACAUCUAAGUACCCCGAGGAGAAGAAAUCAACCGAGAUUCCGGUAGUAGCGGCGAGCGAACCUGGAUUAGCCCUUAAGCACUCGGUGAAGUAGGUGAACAAGCUGGAAAGCUUGGCGAUACAGGGUGAUAGCCCCGUAACCGACGCUUCAUCGAGCGUGAAAUCGAGUAGGGCGGGACACGUGAUAUCCUGUCUGAAUAUGGGGGGACCAUCCUCCAAGGCUAAAUACUCCUGACUGACCGAUAGUGAACCAGUACCGUGAGGGAAAGGCGAAAAGAACCCCUGUGAGGGGAGUGAAAUAGAACCUGAAACCGUGUACGUACAAGCAGUAGGAGCACCUUCGUGGUGUGACUGCGUACCUUUUGUAUAAUGGGUCAGCGACUUAUAUUCAGUGGCAAGGUUAACCGUAUAGGGGAGCCGUAGCGAAAGCGAGUCUUAACUGGGCGCUCAGUCUCUGGAUAUAGACCCGAAACCGGGUGAUCUAGCCAUGGGCAGGUUGAAGGUUGAGUAACAUCAACUGGAGGACCGAACCGACUAAUGUUGAAAAAUUAGCGGAUGACUUGUGGCUAGGGGUGAAAGGCCAAUCAAACUCGGAGAUAGCUGGUUCUCCCCGAAAGCUAUUUAGGUAGCGCCUCGGACGAAUACUACUGGGGGUAGAGCACUGUUAAGGCUAGGGGGUCAUCCCGACUUACCAACCCUUUGCAAACUCCGAAUACCAGUAAGUACUAUCCGGGAGACACACGGCGGGUGCUAACGUCCGUCGUGGAGAGGGAAACAACCCAGACCGCCAGCUAAGGUCCCAAAGUAUUGCUAAGUGGGAAACGAUGUGGGAAGGCUCAGACAGCUAGGAUGUUGGCUUAGAAGCAGCCAUCAUUUAAAGAAAGCGUAAUAGCUCACUAGUCGAGUCGGCCUGCGCGGAAGAUGUAACGGGGCUAAGCAAUACACCGAAGCUGCGGCAAUAUCUUUUAGAUAUUGGGUAGGGGAGCGUUCUGUAAGCCGUUGAAGGUGAAUCGUAAGGUUUGCUGGAGGUAUCAGAAGUGCGAAUGCUGACAUGAGUAACGACAAAGGGGGUGAAAAACCUCCUCGCCGGAAGACCAAGGGUUCCUGUCCAACGUUAAUCGGGGCAGGGUGAGUCGACCCCUAAGGUGAGGCCGAAAGGCGUAAUCGAUGGGAAACGGGUUAAUAUUCCCGUACUUCUGACUAUUGCGAUGGGGGGACGGAGAAGGCUAGGUGGGCCAGGCGACGGUUGUCCUGGUUCAAGUGCGUAGGCUUGAGAGUUAGGUAAAUCCGGCUCUCUUUAAGGCUGAGACACGACGUC
rnacentral:rRNA from 1 species